UGAGGGAAUAUUGGGUCAAUGGGCGAGAGCCUGAACCAGCCAAGUAGCGUGCAGGAUGACGGCCCUAUGGGUUGUAAACUGCUUUUUCGCGGGGAUAAAGAGGGGGAUGCGUCCCCCGUUGCAGGUACCGCGUGAAUAAGGACCGGCUAAUUCCGUGCCAGCAGCCGCGGUAAUACGGAAGGUCCGGGCGUUAUCCGGAUUUAUUGGGUUUAAAGGGAGCGUAGGCCGUCUGUUAAGCGUGUUGUGAAAUGUCGGGGCUCAACCUGGGCAUUGCAGCGCGAACUGGCAGACUUGAGUGCGCAGGAAGUAGGCGGAAUUCGUCGUGUAGCGGUGAAAUGCUUAGAUAUGACGAGAACUCCGAUUGCGAAGGCAGCCUGCUGUAGCGUAA
rnacentral:rRNA from 1 species